rnacentral:rRNA from 1 species
UGACCCGUCUUGAAACACGGACCAAGGAGUCUAGUAUGUGUGUAAGUCAUUGGAUUAUGUAAAAUCUAAAGACAAAAUUAACGUAACUUAUGUGUGUUAUGCACAUAUAUAUAUAUGGGAUUACAUAUUAUUAAUAUUAAUUUUGUAUUGAUAAUAUCUCCAUCCCUGGGUGUUUUUAUUAGCUCAUUUUUAUAUUUAUUUAUUUAAAUGAGUAAAAGCAUACCAUGAAUAUACAURYUGUGACCCGAAAGAUGGUGAACUAURCCUGAUCAGGUCGAAGUCAGGGGAAACCCUGAUGGAGGAUCGUAGCAGUUCUGACGUGCAAAUCGAUUGUCAGAAUUGGGUACAGGGGCGAAAGACCAAUCGAACCAUCUAGUAGCUGGUUCCCUCCGAAGUUUCCCUCAGGAUAGC